UUACAUUGGCUAGCCAGCCAGUCUUCUAUUCAAAGUUUUGUUCCCAAUUCAAGGGGGGAGAGAGAAGAAUCGAGUUACAAAGCUAUUUUGGAACUGGGAAAACAAACUUGAAGAGAAAAAAAGAAUCUAGAUUAGCAUAGAAGAACGGUGGUUUGUAAGAAAAGGAAAGUUUUCAAAUCAAAGACUGUACAAGACUAUUUUCUACAACUGAGACAAAAAGCACAAGAUACAACGUGAAUUCUAGAAGCAAGCACGUGGCAGAGAUUGGCACGCGUCCAGAAUCAAGCGUCCAGAACUGCGCAGCUGUGUGGAUGAAGCAACGAAAUAGACAGAAAUAACUGAUCUGGUAAAGCGUGACAGAUCCUUGUGGCAAUAAAUUAGGAAAGCAUUCCUUCAGACAUUUGGAUAUCGACUGUUGGAAAGAGACUUUUCAUCUGAUCUGCAAACUGUGAUGGAAGAUUCUACAGAGUUCAUUCGAUACAGAAGAUUAACAGACUUACAAAGAAAUAAAAGAUUGACACUAACAUACAUAUAUAUUCCUAAAUAUUAAUGAAGAAAACAGACAAUGAAAAGUUAUUUAACAGUUAUAAGUAUUAAUACCAAAAGAGAGUACUUAUAACAAUAUAACACAUGGAGUACAAUUAUGAUAGGAUAGUAUUAUGAAAAUAACUAUUACAUUAUUACCUAUACAUAGAAUGAGAAGUAUCAGACGUAGAUAAAAUAUGAAGUUGAUAAAAUUACUUAAUUCUACAAAG